ensembl:lncRNA
AGAACAGAGAUGGACUGAGUCCCCUGAUGCUGGCUGUAAGGGAUGUGGAUCUGUUUGAAGAACUGGAGAUGCCGUGGGACUAUAAACCUGUGGAAGUGUUGAAAGAACUUAUGUCUCUUCCGGUUGGAUAUGAAGAUCCUUGAUGGAAGAGGUCCUAGUGCUCUGUGGUGCGUCUCUCAGAUCAAGAGCACCAAGAAGGAAGAACUCUUCCGUAUAGUGGAUUUAUCAAUGCAAACAGAAAGAAUCAGCUGAGACUUUAAAGGCACAAAAGGAUCAUGCAGACAUCCACCAAGAUAACA